UUACGGUCAUAUCACAUUGAAGCACCGGUUCUCGUACGAUCACCGGAAUUAAGCAACGUCGAGUCUGGUCAAUACCUAGAUGGGUGACCGCUUGGUAAUACCAGAUGUUGUAAG